UACGGGGGGGGGCAAGCGUUGUUCGGAAUUACUGGGCGUAAAGGGCUCGUAGGCGGCCAACUAAGUCAGACGUGAAAUCCCCAGGCUCAACCUGGGAACUGCGUCUGAUACUGGUUGGCUUGAAUCCGGGAGAGGGAUGCAGAAUUCCAGGUGUAGCGGUGAAAUGCGUAGAUAUCUGGAGGAAUACCGGUGGCGAAGGCGGCAUCCUGGACCGGCAUUGACGCUGAGGAGCGAAAGCCAGGGAGCAAACGGG
rnacentral:rRNA from 1 species